GACGAACGCUGGCGGCGUGCUUAACACAUGCAAGUCGAACGGAAAGGCCCUGCCUUUGUGGGGUGCUCGAGUGGCGAACGGGUGAGUAACACGUGAGUAACCUGCCCUUGACUUUGGGAUAACUUCAGGAAACUGGGGCUAAUACCGGAUAGGAGCUCCUGCUGCAUGGUGGGGGUUGGAUAGUUUCGGUGGUUGGGGUUGGACUCGCGGCCUAUCGGCUUGUUGGUGGGGUAGUGGCAUACCAAGGCUUUGACGGGUAGCCGGCCUGCGAUGGUAACCGGCCACAUUGGGCCUGGGAUGCGGCCCAGACUCCUCCGGGACGCAGCGGUGGGGAAGAUUGCACUAUGGGCGGAAGCCUGGUGCAGCAACGCCGCGUGCGGGAUGACGGCCUUCGGGUUGUAAACCGCUUUCGCCUGUGACGAAGCGUGAGUGACGGUACUGGGUAAAGAAGCACCGGCUAACUACGUG
rnacentral:rRNA from 1 species